CCUACGGGAGGCAGCAGUGAGGAAUAUUGGUCAAUUGGCGCUAGCCUGAACCAGCCAAGUAGCGUGAAGGAUGACUGCCCUAUGGGUUGUAAACUUCUUUUAUAAAGGAAUAAAGUGCGGUACGUGUACCGUUUUGUAUGUACCUUAUGAAUAAGGAUCGGCUAACUCCGUGCCAGCAGCCGCGGUAAUACGGAGGAUCCGAGCGUUAUCCGGAUUUAUUUGGUUUAAAGGGAGCGUAGGUGGGUUGUUAAGUCAGUUGUGAAAGUUUGCGGCUCAACCGUAAAAUUGCAGUUGAUACUGGCAGCCUUGAGUACAGUAGAGGUAGGCGGAAUGCGUGGUGUAGCGGUGAAAUGCUUAGAUAUCACGAAGAACUCCGAUUGCGAAGGCAGCCUACUGGACUGCAACUGACGUUGAUGCUCGAAAGUGUGGGUAUCAAACAGGAUUAGAUACCCUAGUAGUC
rnacentral:rRNA from 1 species